rnacentral:rRNA from 1 species
UACGUAGGGUGCAAGCGUUGUCCGGAAUUAUUGGGCGUAAAGAGCUCGUAGGCGGUUCGUCGCGUCGGCUGUGAAAUCCCGAGGCUCAACCUCGGGUCUGCAGUCGAUACGGGCAGGCUAGAGUGUGGUAGGGGAGAUCGGAAUUCCUGGUGUAGCGGUGAAAUGCGCAGAUAUCAGGAGGAACACCGGUGGCGAAGGCAGAUCUCUGGGCCGUAACUGACGCUGAGGAGCGAAAGCGUGGGGAGCGAACAGG